AAUGAACGUUGGCGGCAUGGAUUAGGCAUGCAAGUCGAGCGAGAAGUGUAACAAUACACGGAAAGCGGCGGAAAGGAGAGUAAUACGUGGGAAUCUGCCCUUAGACCUGGGAUAGCAGCGGGAAACUGCUGGUAAUACCAGAUAAUGUCUAUGGACCAAAGGUGUGAUUCCGUCUAGGGAUGAGCCCACGUCCUAUUAGCUAGUUGGUAGGGUAAUGGCCUACCAAGGCGAUGAUGGGUAGCGGGUGUGAGAGCAUGACCCGCCUCACUGGGACUGAGACACUGCCCAGACACCUACGGGUGGCUGCAGUCGAGAAUCGUCGGCAAUGGGCGCAAGCCUGACCGAGCGAUGCCGCGUGCGGGAUGAGGGCCUUCGGGUUGUAAACCGCUGUCGAGGGGGAGCAACUUCCAUAGAGUUAUCUUUAUGGAUUGAGUGAUCCCUGGAGGAAGGACGGGCUAAGUUCGUGCCAGCCGCCGCCGUAACAC
rnacentral:rRNA from 1 species